GACGAACGCUGGCGGCGUGCUUAACACAUGCAAGUCGAACGGUGAAGGAGAGCUUGCUCUCCGGAUCAGUGGCGAACGGGUGAGUAACACGUGGGCAACCUGCCCCAGACUUCGGGAUAACGCUUCGAAAGAGGUGCUAAUACCGGAUACGAACUCCUUUGGCAUCCUUGGAGUUUGAAAGUUUUUCGGUCUGGGAUGGGCACGCGGCCUAUCAGCUUGUUGGUGAGGUAACGGCUGACCAAGGCGACGACGGGUAGCCGGCCUGAGAGGGCGACCGGCCGCACUGGGACUGAGACACGGCCCAGACGCCUACGGGAGGCAGCAGUGGGGAAUAUUGCGCAAUGGGCGAAAGCCUGACGCAGCAACGCCGCGUGAGGGAUGACGGCCUUCGGGUUGUAAACCUCUUUCAGCAGGGAAGAAGCGAAAGUGACGGUACCUGCAGAAGAAGCACCGGCUAAAUACGUGCCAGCCGCCGCGGUAA
rnacentral:rRNA from 1 species